CUCUUCAAGUGGCCUGGGAGCGCGCGCAUGCGCGCUGCUGGGAACCGGCCGGGGUGCCGGGUCGAACGUCAGACGCCCGGGCCCGGCGAGCGCGGGCUCGGCGGAGGGCGGGAAGGCUGAAGGGCGGUGACAGGACGCACCGCCUCGCGAGGGCCAGAACGCCCAUUUCUGCAGAGGCAGAGGGUGAGGAGUCACGCCCUCUCUCACCAGAUUUUGGGCGGCCCUGUGGAGACACCCUGUGCCCUUUAAGGGACAUGGAUUGAGUCGGGACCUCAAAAUCUGCCUUAAUCCAUGUUCCCUUCGGGAUGCUGGUAUCCAACUGAGAAGUUUAUGGAGCACCUAUCAUGUGCCAGGCACUGUGCUAAGUGCUAGCGAGAAAUCGGUGAGCAAAACAGAAAAGAAAAAAAAAGAAGAAAAGACUGCCAGCAUUGAACUUAGAACCUAGCAAAGUAGAUGGACAUAAAUCAAAUUAUCAGACAAGUAAAUGAGGAGUCGCAGCUGUGGUAAGGGGUAUGAAGAAUAGGCGCUUCCAUGAUGGCGGAACAUGACCUAGUCUGGGGUGGAGAAGGGGAGAUGAUUCCAGCUGGAAUAUGGCAGGUGAGAGUUAACUGAUAGCACUGAAUCGGCAGAAGCAGGAUGACCUGCCCCAGGCAGGUGCCCCAGAAUGAGAGGAUGUUGCUGCUGGUGGAACUCCAGCUUUAAAGCAGUGGAUCUAGGGCCACAUUCCUCAAGGCCAUAGCAAACAGGAAAGACCUUUUGGACUAGGGUCUUUGGAGUAGUCACAUGAGGCCAAGACCCCAAUAGGGCUGAAAGAGAAUCUCUUCAUAGGCUGAAUGUGAGCAGAGCAUUAGCUGCAACUCCAAUGUAUUAUAGUAAAAGGGGACACAUUGAUUAGAAUGAUUAUACCCCUCCAAGUGUAAGCUGUUGUUCAAUUUACCCAGGGCUUAAAAAUAUGUCAACUCUUCACAACCAUUUUUACUACAAGCCACACUCAACCUGUGUUGUUCCCUGAACCUGUGAUGCACUUUCAUCCGUUCAUGUCUCUACACAUCCUUCCUGGGCCCCAUAGAGGCCCUGCACCUUAAGGUUUUCAGCUGCAUUCCUAUUAGCUAGUUAUUUUAUCGCAGGUACAGAGAGUUAACUUUGCUUCUCAAUUUUCAGCACAUUGUCAUAUCAGUCCCUACAAGGUCCUUGUUUAUAUUAUUUUAUAGUGUUUAUAUUAUUUUUUCCUCAUCUUUCUCGAUCCCCACUCUCAUUCUUCUAGACACAAACUGCAAUAUGUUCGAUAGAGAUCGUUGAUAAUUUAAGACAGAUAAUGUUUUGUUUAUGCCUCUUGCAUUUACAGAGAUGGUAUUGGACUGUAAAUCUCUAUUUCCCACUGUUUUACUCAACACUCUGUUUUUGAGCUAUACCCACAUUGCUGUGUGUACACCUAGUUUGCUACCGAGUAUGCCAGAAAUUUUAUUCAUACAUAUCCCUACUGAUCGGGCAUCUAGGUUACUGCCAACUCCCUGAAGUCAUACUGUGGUGAAAACCCUUGUGAAUGUCUUUACAAACCUUUGCCAGAACUUAUUUUGUGCUCUUGUAGAACUUUGUGCAUACCCUCGGCUUCCUCAUUACACUGCUUGGCAUAUAGCAGGGACUCAACAAAUGUUGAAUACCUCUACUAUGAUGGUUAGUGUACUAGAAUUUUAUUUAUAUUUCUGUUUUCCUUAUUGGAUUAUUAGUACCUUCCAGACAGGGCAAAUGUCUUUUCUAUCUUUGUGUCCCUGGCACAUUAAAAGUGGUUGAUUUCAAGGUAUGUUCAAUGAAUGAAUAAAUACUUAUCCUCACUGCCAGUAC